rnacentral:misc_RNA from 1 species
GAUGAAGAACGCAGCGAAAUGCGAUAAGUAAUGUGAAUUGCAGAAUUCAGUGAAUCAUCGAAUCUUUGAACGCACAUUGCGCCCCCUGGUAUUCCGGGGGGCAUGCCUGUCCGAGCGUCAUUAUAACCCUCAAGCUCAGCUUGGUGUUGGGCCCCGCCGCCCCGGCGGGCCCUAAAGUCAGUGGCGGUGCCGUCCGGCUCCGAGCGUAGUAAUUCUUCUCGCUCUGGAGGUCCGGUCGUGUGCUCGCCAGCAACCCCCAAUUUUUUUCAGGUUGACCUCGGAUCAGGUAGGGAUACCCGCUGAACUUAAGCAUAUCAAUAAGCGGAGGA